UACGAAGGGGGCUAGCGUUGCUCGGAAUCACUGGGCGUAAAGCGCACGUAGGCGGAUUGCUAAGUCAGGGGUGAAAUCCUGGAGCUCAACUCCAGAACUGCCUUUGAUACUGGCGACCUUGAGUCCGGGAGAGGUGAGUGGAACUGCGAGUGUAGAGGUGAAAUUCGUAGAUAUUCGCAAGAACACCAGUGGCGAAGGCGGCCGACUGGGCCGUCCCUGACGCUGAGGCGCGAAAAGCGUGGGGAGCGAACCGG
rnacentral:rRNA from 1 species